GGAGGGUGCAAGCGUUGUUCGGAAUUACUGGGCGUAAAGCGCGUGUAGGCGGCUAGGCAAGUCGGAUGUGAAAGCCCGGGGCUCAACCCCGGAAAUGCAUCCGAAACUGCUCAGCUAGAGUCCCGGAGAGGAAGGCAGAAUUCCCAGUGUAGGGGUGAAAUCCGUAGAUAUUGGGAGGAAUACCAGUGGCGAAGGCGGCCUUCUGGACGGUGACUGACGCUCAGACGCGAAAGCGUGGGGAGCAAACAGGAUUAGAUACCCUGGUAGUCCACGCCGUAAACGUUGUGCACUAGGUGUCGGGGGUAUUCACUCCUCCGGUGCCGCCCGCUAACGCAUUAAGUGCACCGCCUGGGGGAGUACGGCCGCAAGGCUA
rnacentral:rRNA from 1 species